GGCCCUUUCAGAUGGAAGCAGAAGGUGGGGCAGGUAGAGGCCAUGUGUCUGUAGGUUGGCUAUACAGAAAUCAUCAGGCUUGAUUUUGCAGGAGUGUUGUACGAGGGUUUUGUUUGUUUUGUACCAUAUGAGUCUGCACAAACCGCGAGCUUCAAAGCAAAAGGAAAGCAGCCAGAUUCUGAGUUUUGAGUGACACCCCCAAAACUGAUUUUUUUGCUGCAAAUCUGUAAACUGGAGUGCAUCAUUUUAAAGGUCUGUGAAGCUCCAUGAACCUAUCACUACACCCAGUCUGAGAUUAGGAUUGCAGUGAAAUCUGAAACCCAGGAUACAAGUUUAAAAGGAAACCUUUACAUUUUGGAGAUAGCUGCACAGCUUUAAGCUCUUUCUGAUGACAACUUCUUUAAGAAGUUUAACGUACCUCAUGGAGCACUGUAGGACUGGAGGCCUGGAAACGUAAGUAGGAUGCAUGAAAAAAUAGCGUGGUCCCUGAA